GAUGAACGCUGGCGGCGUGCCUAAUACAUGCAAGUCGAGCGAAUGGAUUAAGAGCUUGCUCUUAUGAAGUUAGCGGCGGACGGGUGAGUAAUACGUGGGUAACCUGCCCAUAAGACUGGGAUAACUCCGGGAAACCGGGGCUAAUACCGGAUAACAUUUUGAACCGCAUGGUUCGAAAUUGACAGGCUGCUUCGGCUGUCACUUAUGGAUGGACCCGCGUCGCAUUAGCUAGUUGGUGAGGUAACGGCUCCCCAAGGCAACGAUGCGUAGCCGACCUGAGAGCGUGAUCGGCCACACUGGGACUGAGACACGGCCCAGACUCCUACGGGAGGCAGCAGUAGGGAAUCUUCCGCAAUGGACGAAAGUCUGACGGAGCAACGCCGCGUGAGUGAUGAAGGCUUUCGGGUCGUAAAACUCUGUUGUUAGGGAAGAACAAGUGCUAGUUGAAUAAGCUGGCACCUUGACGGUACCUAACCAGAAAGCCACGGCUAACUACGUGCCAGCCGCCGCGGUAA
rnacentral:rRNA from 1 species